rnacentral:rRNA from 1 species
CGAAGCCGUAAGGCGAAGUAUAGGGGGUGACACCUGCCCGGUGCUGGAAGGUUAAGGAGAGGGGUUAGCGUAAGCGAAGCUCUGAACUGAAGCCCCAGUAAACGGCGGCCGUAACUAUAACGGUCCUAAGGUAGCGAAAUUCCUUGUCGGGUAAGUUCCGACCCGCACGAAAGGUGUAACGAUUUGGGCACUGUCUCAACCAGAGACUCGGUGAAAUUAUAGUACCUGUGAAGAUGCAGGUUACCCGCGACAGGACGGAAAGACCCCGUGGAGCUUUACUGUAGCCUGAUAUUGAAUUUUGGUACAGUUUGUACAGGAUAGGCGGGAGCCAUUGAAACCGGAGCGCUAGCUUCGGUGGAGG